rnacentral:rRNA from 1 species
GGAAUUUUGGACAAUGGGCGCAAGCCUGAUCCAGCAAUGCCGCGUGAGUGAAGAAGGCCUUCGGGUUGUAAAGCUCUUUUGUCAGGGAAGAAACGGGCCUUUCUAAUACAGGGGCCUAAUGACGGUACCUGAAGAAUAAGCACCGGCUAACUACGUGCCAGCAGCCGCGGUAAUACGUAGGGUGCAAGCGUUAAUCGGAAUUACUGGGCGUAAAGCGUGCGCAGGCGGUUUUGUAAGACUGUCGUGAAAUCCCCGGGCUCAACCUGGGAAUGGCGAUGGUGACUGCAAGGCUAGAGUUUGGCAGAGGGGGGUAGAAUUCCACGUGUAGCAGUGAAAUGCGUAGAUAUGUGGAGGAACACCGAUGGCGAAGGCAGCCCCCUGGGUCAAAACUGACGCUCAUGCACGAAAGCGUGGGGAGCAAACAGGAUUAGAUACCCUUG